GCUCAGUAACACGUGGUUAACCUACCCUCAGGUUGGGGAUAAUCCCGGGAAACUGGGAAUAAUACCCAAUAAAGAAUGGGUACUGGAAUGUCCUAUUCUUGAAAGCUCCGGCGCCUGAGGAUGGGACUGCGGCGGAUUAGGUUGUUGUGGGUGUAAUGUACCUACAAGCCGAUAAUCCGUACGGGCGUUGAGAGACGGAGCCCGGAGACGUGUUCUGAGACAAGAACACGGACCCUAUGGGGCGCAGCAGGCGCGAAACCUUCACAAUGCGUGCAAGCGUGAUGAGGGGAUCCCGAGUGUCCCAGCAUUGCUGGGACUUUUCUAGAGUGUAAAAAGCUCUGGGAAUAAGCAGCGGGUAAGACGGGUGCCAGCCGCCGCGGUAAUACCCGCGCUGCAAGUGAUAGCCACUCUUAUUGGGCCUAAAGCGUCCGUAGCCGGCCUAGUAAGUCUUUGGUGAAAUCUUACGUUAACCGUAAGAAAUGCCAAAGAAACUGUUAGGCUAGGGACCGGGAGAGGCCGGAGGUACUCCUGGAGUAGUGGUAAAAUACUGUAAUUCUAGGAGGACCACCUGUGGCGAAGGCGUCCGGCCAGAACGGAUCCGACGGUGAGGGACGAAAGCCAGGGGAGCGACCCGGAUUAGAUACCCGGUUAGUCCUGGCUGUAAACCAUGCCCGCUUUGUGUGACACUUCUCUUGGGGAAGUGUCUUGCAGUAGUGUAGACGUUAAGCGGGCCGCCUGGGGAGUACGCUCGCAAGAGUAAAACUUAAGGGAAUUGGCGGGGGAGCACCACAAGGGGUGGAGGCUGCGGUUUAAUUGGGUUCAACGCCAGAAACCUUACCAGGGGCGACAGCAGUAUGACGGUCACUUUGAAGUGGUUACCUGACGCGCUGAGAGGUGUUGCAUGGCCAUCGUCAGCUCGUGCUGUGAAGUGUCCGGUUAAGUCCGGUAACGAGCGAGACCUGCGCCCUUAGUUGCUAUCUUAUCCUCCGGGAUAAGAGCACUCUAAGGGAACUGCCGGCGAAAAGUCGGAGGAAGGUGCAGUCGACGGUAGGUCUGUAUGACCCGAAUCUCCUGGGAUACACACGGCCUACAAUGGUCAGGUCAAUGAGUUGCGACUCCGAAAGGAGAAGCUAAUCCCUAAACCUGGCCCUAGUUCGGAUCGAGGGCUGAAACUCGCCCUCGUGAAGAUGGAAUCCCUAGUAAGCGCUGGUCAUUAUCCAGCGCUGAAUACGUCCCUGCUCCUUGCACACAC
rnacentral:rRNA from 1 species